rnacentral:rRNA from 1 species
UACGAAGGGGGCUAGCGUUGUUCGGAAUUACUGGGCGUAAAGCGCGCGCAGGCGGCCUUUCAAGUCAGGGGUGAAAGCCCGGAGCUCAACUCCGGAAUUGCCUUUGAAACUGUCAGGCUCGAGUACGGGAGAGGUGAGUGGAAUUCCCAGUGUAGAGGUGAAAUUCGUAGAUAUUGGGAAGAACACCGGUGGCGAAGGCGGCUCACUGGCCCGUAACUGACGCUCAUGCACGACAGCGUGGGGAUCAAACAGG